AUUGAACGCUGGCGGCAGGCCUAACACAUGCAAGUCGAACGAGUGGCGGACGGGUGAGUAAUGUCUGGGCAACUGCCUGAUGGAGGGGGAUACCUACUGGAAACGGUAGCUAAUACCGCAUACCAUCGGAUGUGCCCCGAUGGGAUUAGCUAGUAGGUGGGGGAAAGGCUCACCUAGGCGACAAUCCCUAGCUGGUCUGAGAGGAUGACCGGCCACACUGGAACUGAGACACGGCCCAGACUCCUACGGGAGGCAGCAGUGGGGAAUAUUGCACAAUGGGCGCAAGCCUGAUGCAGCCAUGCCGCGUGUAUGAAGAAGGCCUUCGGGUUGUAAAGUACGUUCAGCGGGGAGGCGGUACUCGCAGAAGAAGCACCGGCUAACUCCGUGCCAGCAGCCGCGGUAAUAC
rnacentral:rRNA from 1 species